rnacentral:ncRNA from 1 species
AUUAAAUAGAGUUUGAUCCUGGCUCAGAAUAAAUGCUAUUGGUAUGCUUAACACAUGCAAGUUGAAUGUUUAAUUUUUAAACAUAGCGAACGGGUGAGUAACGCGUGAAUUAUCUCCUUUUAAUUCAGGAUAAUUAUUUUAUAUAAAAAUACUGAAUAAUUUUAAUAAAGUUUUAAUAACGUUAAAAGAUGAGUUUGCGUAAGAUUAGGUAGUUGGUAGUUUAAAAGACUACCAAGCCGACUAUCUUUAGCUGGUUUGAAAGAAUGAUCAGCCACAUUGGGACUGAGACACGGCCCAAACUUUUUUAAAGGCAGCAGUGGGGAAUUUUGGACAAUGAGCGAAAGCUUGAUCCAGCAAUACCAAGUGAGUGAAGAAGGCUAAUUAGGUUGUAAAGCUCUUUCAUUAAGGAGGAAAAUGACAGUACUUAAAAAAGAAGUUCCGGCUAAUACCCGUGCCAGCAGCCGCGGUAAUACGGGAGGAGCGAGCAUUAUUCGGAAUGAUUAGGCGUAAAGGGUUUGUAGGUGGUUUUUUAAGUUGAAAAAAACAAAUUAAAGCUCAACUUUAUAAAUUUUUUCAAAACUGAAAAACUUGAGUAUAAAUAGAGGAUAAUGGAAUUUCUAUUGGAGGGAUAAAAUACGUUGAUAAUAGAAGGAAGAUCAAAAGCGAAGGCAAUUAUCUGGGUAUAUACUGACACUGAGAAACGAAAGCUUGGGUAGCGAACGGGAUUAGAGACCCCGGUAGUCCAUGCUGUAAACGAUGAGUGCUCAUAUUUAGAAUUUUUAGAUAUCAAGCUAACGCGUUAAGCACUCCGCCUGAAAAGUAUAAUCGCAAGAUUGAAAUUCAAAGGAAUUGACGGGAGUCUACACAAGCGGUGGAGCAUGUGGUUUAAUUCGAUAAUACGCGCAGAACCUUACCAACUCUUGCAAAUUAGAUUAAAAAAUUAAAUUUAAUCUAAACAGGCGUUGCAUGGCUGUCGUCAGCUCGUGUUGUGAAAUGUUUGGUUAAAUCCUUUAACGAGCGC